rnacentral:rRNA from 1 species
CCUACGGGAGGCAGCAGUGGGGAAUUUUGGACAAUGGGCGCAAGCCUGAUCCAGCAAUGCCGCGUGAGUGAAGAAGGCCUUCGGGUUGUAAAGCUCUUUUGUCAGGGAAGAAGCGGUGGGAGCUAAUAUCUCCCGCUAAUGACGGUACCUGAAGAAUAAGCACCGGCUAACUACGUGCCAGCAGCCGCGGUAAUACGUAGGGUGCAAGCGUUAAUCGGAAUUACUGGGCGUAAAGCGUGCGCAGGCGGUUUUGUAAGUCUGUCGUGAAAGCCCCGGGCUCAACCUGGGAAUUGCGAUGGAGACUGCAAGGCUUGAAUCUGGCAGAGGGGGGUAGAAUUCCACGUGUAGCAGUGAAAUGCGUAGAGAUGUGGAGGAACACCGAUGGCGAAGGCAGCCCCCUGGGUCAAGAUUGACGCUCAUGCACGAAAGCGUGGGGAGCAAACAGGAUUAGAUACCCUGGUAGUCCACGCCCUAAACGAUGUCUACUAGUUGUCGGGUUUUAAUUAACUUGGUAACGCAGCUAACGCGUGAAGUAGACCGCCUGGGGAGUACGGUCGCAAGAUUAAAACUCAAAUGAAUUGACGG